GACAGAGGGUGCAAACGUUGUUCGGAAUUACUGGGCGUAAAGCGCGUGUAGGCUGCCCCGAAAGUCAGAUGUGAAAGCCCCGGGCUCAACCUGGGAACUGCAUUUGAAACUGGCGGGCUUGAGUAUGGCAGAGGGGGGUGGAAUUCCGCGUGUAGCAGUGAAAUGCGUAGAGAUGCGGAGGAACACCGAUGGCGAAGGCAGCCCCCUGGGCCAAUACUGACGCUCAGGCACGAAAGCGUGGGGAGCAAACAGG
rnacentral:rRNA from 1 species